AUUGAACGCUGGCGGCAUGCUUUACACACGCAAGUCGAACGGUAACAGGCCGCAAGGUGCUGACGAGUGGCGAACGGGUGAGUAAUGCAUCGGAACGUGCCCAGUCGUGGGGGAUAACGCAGCGAAAGCUGCGCUAAUACCGCAUACGAUCUAUGGAUGAAAGCGGGGGACCGUAAGGCCUCGCGCGAUUGGAGCGGCCGAUGUCAGAUUAGGUAGUUGGUGGGGUAAAGGCUCACCAAGCCAACGAUCUGUAGCUGGUCUGAGAGGACGACCAGCCACACUGGGACUGAGACACGGCCCAGACUCCUACGGGAGGCAGCAGUGGGGAAUUUUGGACAAUGGGCGCAAGCCUGAUCCAGCAAUGCCGCGUGCAGGAAGAAGGCCUUCGGGUUGUAAACUGCUUUUGUACGGAACGAAAAGGCUCUGGUUAAUACCUGGGGCUCAUGACGGUACCGUAAGAAUAAGCACCGGCUAACUACGUGCCAGCAGCCGCCGUAAAAC
rnacentral:rRNA from 1 species